UACAGAGGGUGCAAACGUUGUUCGGAAUUACUGGGCGUAAAGCGUGCGCAGGCGGUUUUGUAAGCCAGAUGUGAAAGCCCCGGGCUCAACCUGGGAAUGGCAUUUGGGACUGCAAGGCUGGAGUUUGGCAGAGGAGACUGGAAUUCCUGGUGUAGCAGUGAAAUGCGUAGAUAUCAGGAGGAAUACCGAUGGCGAAGGCAGGUCUCUGGGCUAUAACUGACGCUCAUGCACGAAAGCGUGGGGAGCAAACAGG
rnacentral:rRNA from 1 species